rnacentral:lncRNA from 1 species
UUUUUUUUUUUGUUAAACUCAGCACUCAGUUAAACACCGCCAUAUAAAAGGAAAUGGAGGGAGUAAUAGUUUUGUUGUUGCUAUCUGCAGGGGUACCAUAGAGACGUUCUGGAGCGCCCAACUCCACCUCAUGCGAGUGUAAUUGUUCAUCCUCCGCCGCCUGUAAUUCUUGAAGCGCGACAGACCUCACCUGUCAUUUCAACAUCAACCGUCAUACCUACUCCUCUGAAAAAGAUACCCACGAAGCGUGGGAGAGAGAGGAAAUCCAAGCGACAUAGAAAAGUUAUUGCUGGAAAUAAAGAUCCUAAUUUCAGUUAAAAAUUUUGAUCGAUUAAAAUUUUAUUCUUUUCCUUCCCUGUUUUCCAGUAUAUCAAUCGCGCGGGGUUAGGAACUGUUGUUUCCGAAAAGUCAACAUGAAGUUCUUCAUAAGAUUCUUUAGAAGGUAUCUGAUUUAUCAAAUUUUUUGUUGUAUAUAUUUGAGUCUUGGCAAGUAUUAUCAUAGCAAUUUUAUACUGCGAAUCGCCUUCUCUUAUCGCUAGCUUCAUGUACUAUUUCUUCUCAUACAACUGUUGGUUCUGAAGCAAGAUGAAAUUCAAUAUCCAUUAUACUGCUGUCCGUUGUGUUUCUUUUCAAUUAUGUUGUGAUUAUGCUUUUCCUGAGCCGAUGGUCUGUCAGAAACAACCUCUCUACUUCCACAAGAUAAGGGUAAGGUUUGCAUAUAUACUAACCUCCCCAGAUUCUGCAAUACUAAAUUGGCGAGACGAUAGAGAAAGCUUAGGAAGUAGUAAGGUGUCUAUGGGGCUUGCCUUACAGGUACUGACUAUACUACUUACAUAUCGAGCAGAUCUUACUCUCAAUAGAGUCAUUUCGAUAUGACCUAGGCACUUACAGAAUACCGAACUUGGAUAAUCGGUAGAAGAAUGAUUGGCUAAAUCAUUUGCUUCACUGCGGAAGAACCCCUUUCUAUGCUAUGUUCCUAAUAAAAAACUGUCAUCCUUCUGUCGCCUGUCGUCUGUUUGCUACACCAAACUAAGUUGUGAGAUUACACUGAGUUUGUUAUUAUUGUUGUCUGCUCUGUUGGUGAAAUCUUGGUUUUUCAAGUCUUGUAAAUGUUGAUUUAGUGGUUGCAGAUCUUGGUUGUUGUUGUUGUUGUUCUUGUGUGUGUGUGGUGGGGGGGGGGGGGGGGGUUCACUCUUGCCAACAGUACUUGGUAUUGAAACAUGGUUUGGUUCAUUGUAACAAACAGGACAACAUGCUAAAGAUUAAAAUUUAUUAGUUUCACAUGGGGAUGUUGAUUGAUCAUUGAGCAUAUUCUUAUAUUGUAAAAAGCAGUAAAUUUGUGAACUACUCCCUCUGAUCACAAUUAAUCGUUUUGAUAAAUUGAAUUAUGUUCUGAAAUAUUUAAUGAGAUAGGAAUUAUUUUAUUAUUUCUCUUCAAAUUUACCUGCUCCAAUUAAUGUUGUGUUAAUUAAGUGAGACGUUCAAGAGCGAUGAACAGUUUAGGCAAAUAUUCUUAUGAUUAAGGCUAGUAAACUUUUUUUAAAAAAGAUUUUUACUUGAUAGAUCUUUUUAAAGAGUUAAUAAUAUAAAUGGUAUUACUUUUGCUUUAUUCCAAAAACAACAAAUUAAUUUACAAUUAUGGCAUGUUUUAAAAACUCAUACGUUUAUUUGCCUAUAUGUUUUAAAAGAUUCAUUAAUUAAGGAAUCACUAAUUAAGGGAUGGAUUACUAAUUUGUUUUCAUUAAUUUAUCCCCCUCAAAAUCUAAUCUCUCUCUCUCUCUUCCUUUUGUACAACGACUCCAUUUUCUCUCUCUCUCUCCUCUCAUCUUACAUCUUCAUCUUUUUCAACUUGACCAUAAUGGCUCUUUCAUUAUUUCAUAAAUAUAUAAUGAAUAUUAUGCUAUGUAUUUUUAUAUAUUCCAUAAUAUACAAGAAUAUGUUCUAGCUAAAACAAACAUGCGCAAACAUAUAUACAUUAUACCAUUAUUAUAUCAUUUAUAUAAUAAAAUAUUUUUAAUUAGAUAUGUUAUAUGCCAACAUUAUUUCAUAAAUAUAUAAUGAGUAUAUUAUAUACCAUAAAUACUCCUCGUAUAGUUAUUAAUGUUUCUUUAAUCUUGUUUGUUGUAUAAAUCAUAAUUAUAGUUCAUAUAUAUAACAUGUAGUUUUUGUGAAUUAUCGGAUUUAGUAUUGUUAAUUUAUAUUUAUCUUGAUUCACACUUAAAUACACAUGAUACCAUAAUUAUACAAUGUAUGACGAUCAGAAUAUCGCAGUUGAUUAUGAUAGUAUAAGAUUAUUACAGCAAUAGGCAUAUUUUUGGAAACAACUCCAAAUUAUAUUAAUUUUCAAAUACUCUUUUUUUUUUUUUAAUUUUCCCCCAGAAUUUCACAAUUCUUAUAUCCAAACUUAGACAAGAGUAGAUUUCUCUAGUCACCUCAAGACGUUGUGAGUUCGAGUCACUACAAGAGCAAUGUGGGGAGUUCUUGGAGGGAGGGAGCCGGAGGUCUAUCGGAAACAGUCUUUCUACCCAGGAUAGGGGUAAGGUUUACGUACAGACUAACCUCCCAAAACCCUACUGAUGAGAUUAUACUGAGUUAUUAUUAUUCUAAACUUACAAAGUUCAUGUACUAAAGUCAAAAAGAGAAAGUUGUUUUUAUCUUUUUGCUGACACAACUUAGAACAGAUUUUUGUCACACAGCAGCAAUUGGGGAAAGAAACUUGAAAAAAAGAUGAAUCAGCUUCUAAAAGUGCACAUGCAAAUUAGUAACAGAUCUAAUAUUAGUCAAAUCAAGUCUGCUACCAAACUUUUUGGAUGAAAUCUCCUAAAGAAAAAAAGUGCACAUCACAGUCUUACUUGUUUUUUUGUCCGGUAAUUAUAACCCCGUUAAGCGGCGGAGACAGAAUUUUCGUUAAGUGGGUUCAAAAAAGAAAAAAAGUUAAAAAGUUUGUAAGGUCAUUGAACCCCUCGACCAUUAAACUAUGCUUUUAGGCUGUGUCAAGGAAAUUCGAAACAUAAUAUAUAGAAUUAAAAAUUAGAUUUUGUCUUAUAUAUACAGUAUAAUUUUUCGGCGAAGCGGAUUCGGGUGAACACCCUUCCAAUUCCUAAAUCCGCCCAUGGCCCCAUUCUAUAAUUUGUAGAUUGAUUUGCUUCAAUUAUCGUUGAUUUGGUAGAUAAAUAAUCUAAGAUCACAUUCAACUACUUUACAUUGUUUUUAUUGGCUAGUGAAGUUGCAGAUUUUUGGAGAAAGCUAAACUAUAAAAAUAAACUUCUGCAAAUUGCAGACAGUAAAGGAAUUUUUACACUAUUAUAUCACUUAAAAAUUAAUUAUAAUUUAAUCAUCCAUGUUAAUAAAUUACUAAUCUGAAAAAUAAAAUAUAUUGCCUGCUCAAACAAUAUUUAAGUAUGUAUGGGUGAGAAUUUUAGCCCAAAUCGAUUUAACCCGCUCAAUCCGUCCAAGGUUGAGCUGCUCAUUGACUCGCCCAAUGUUGAAUUUAGUUCAUAUUGACUUAGUCUAUCUCAAUCCAUCUAAAGUUGGACUGAUUUUUAGCCUAAAUUGAUCCAUGAGCAACUUUGCUAAAAUAUAUUUAACAUAAUUUUGUUUUGUUUAAUGUUAUAUAUGACCAUAACAAGAGAAAAAAGAGUCUUAUUUGUUAAUUAACCAAUUUAUAAGAAAAUAAUUACACAUUAAUUAAAGUUUGAUAAGAGUUAGGCAGGUUGGGCAAUGACCCAAAUUUUCUUAGCCUAGUCUAUCUCAGCUCAAGUAACUUUUGGGCGGAAUAAUGACUCGCCUAUUUAUUGACUCAAUUUAUUUUAACUCGUCCAAAAUCAGCGUAACUCGCCCAUUUGAUACCCCUAACUGAUAGUAUAAAAGUGUUUUGCACAAACUUAAAAUAUACUAAUCUUUUGCAAAAUUGGGGAUCGAUAUCCAAUCAUUUUGAAUAGUUUAAAAAACAAAAAAAAAAAAAGACUCGUACGUCAAAUUAGUUCUGCUUGACCCUAAGUGAAAAAAUUAAUGUGCUUUACAUUAGAACCUAGAGAUAAAAUUCUCUUGUCAACUCCUACAAAAACAUGUAGAAAAAUGGAAAAUAUAGUGUGAUUUUGUUGAAGGAGUAAUGCUUAACCAGUCUAUUUUGGAAGUUUUGUAUGUUCUUCCUUUCUGCCUAAAUCUUAGUUGACGACGUUUACAAUAAUAAGUAUUUAAUAGAAUAAUUAAGGUGCGUACAAACUGAUACAGACACCACUCAAACUCAAAUAACACAUAAGAAUAAUUGAUCUUAACAGACAAAAGAGAAAGAUAAGGAAGAAAAAAUAUAGAAAUUAUAUUUGCUAAUUAACAUGAAUUAAUGUGCUUUAACGUAUAUGUGCAGUAUAUAGAGUGGUGGGGCAUGAGUUUGAGUUAUAGUUUGAAUAUUAAUUAAUUAAUUUUCAUAAGCUGAUGAAUUCCUUUUAUCAAAAAGACAAAAAGUGAAAUAGUUUUUGCCAGACUCUUCUGAAAUGAGUCAGCAUUCCCGGCCCUUCUUUAUUUUUUCAUCUUUCUUUAUAAUUUUUUCCUACAUUAUGGACCAACUAAAUUAGGAUUCACGUUAUAUAAAGUUUAUUAAAGGAAAAUUUGUAAUUGUUAAUUAUCAGAAAUAAAAAUACAUGUAAUUGUUCAUAAUACGUGGGAUCAAUAGUCUAAAAAUGGGGCAUGCUUCUUGUUAUAUUAAGUGCUAUGAUUUAAAGAGAAUUAACCUAAACAGACGCUCACUCAAUUGCUUAAACUAAAAAUAGUCGAUGCAUAUCUAUUAUAUGACUAAUUAUCUUAUAACCGUAUAUAAUCAAUAUAUAAUUUGUGUAUACUGAUUAGAAAAGGUAAACGGUAAAUUCAAUCAGCUAUAUGUGUAAUAUCAGCCUAUGCAAGUUCUAAAUACUACUAUCAAUGUAUAUAAAUAAAAUAUUUUGUAAAUUUAAUUACAAAAAAAAGAGACAUUAUUGAGGGGCAAAUAUGUCCAAAAGCCAUAUAAUUUUGACUUAUUAAGUGUACUCAUGAAGCUUCUAUAUCUCUCUUUUAGUCAAAGACAAAUAAUUUCUCCAUCACUUCCAUUUGAAAAUUCAAUUAAAAAAUUAUCCACAUUCAAAAGUGUCACGUUAGCUCUAAAGAAAAAGUUGAAUACACUUGAUAGAGAAAGACCACAAAAAUAGAAAGAAACACUAGCACUUUCUAAGAAGAUACAUAUCUCCCCCUCUAACUGUUCAAAACAAAAAUAGGCAUGUAUCUAUAGUUAGAAAUAGUUUAAUGUUAAAUAAUAAUAAUAACAAUAAAUUUAGUGUAAUCUCACCAGUAAAAUUUGAGGAGACUAAUGACUAAUAUGUAUUCAGACUUAUCCGUACCUUGAGAAUGUAAAGAGACUAUUUCCGAUAGACCCCCGACUCAAGAAAAGCUGAAAAAGAAGCAAUAGUAGCAAGCAAUAAUACCAACUAGCAAAAAAAAAAAAAACUGAAGCGAAAGAAACAACAAGGUAAUAAGAAAAUCGAAACGAAAGAAUUUUUUUAAUAGUCUCAUUUUAUAUAUUCUAAACUUCUCAUUUUAUUUUUAAUGACAUGAUUUAUAGACACACAAAUAUUUAUGAUUUAUUUUAAAUAAAUUUCAAUAAUCUUUCUCUUUUUGAAUUAUUAACAUAAAUAGUCGUUUACCCAAUUAUUUAUAUGUGUGCGUGUAUGUAUAUAAUCUUUUUAUAUAGUCAGUGUCUAUUGAAUCUAGCCGACUAUUUGUAUAAAGAUUGUUUUUUCUUCUAAAUUUCAAUAUUCUUAGUCAUUACCGCCACGUAAAAUGGGACGGCGGGAGUAGUAUAAAAGACUAUAAAAAGUAGAAAUAUUUGCACAAAAUAGUGAUCUUUCUGUACUUUAUCUAUCAAAUAGAAAAACCAAGAUCCUACAUUUAUCCAUGGCAACAGCAGCCGUUGGAACAGCAGAAGACCGGACGAUUAGCCGGAAAGUCGGCCAGCCGCCGACGAGAACGAAAUGCCCGGCGCCGUUUCUGCUUAAGACUUACGAACUUUUGGAGCUGGAGGAAGAAGAAGAGAAUUACAGUGAAAAAAAUAAGGUUGUUUCAUGGAAUGAAGAGGGCACUGGUUUUGUUGUUUGGUCUCCAGCUGAGUUUUCUGAACUCAUGUUGCCUAAAUAUUUCAAGCACAACAAUUUUUCGAGUUUUAUCCGACAACUUAAUACCUAUGUAAGUCUCUCUCUCGUUUAAUUUUGUGUGUAUUUGCUAGAAUAUGUCACACGUUUGGUCGAAAGAAUGGAUUGUUGUCUUCUUAUAUAAUAUCGAAAUCUGUAAGAAUGUAUUGUUGUCUCCUUAUAUGAUAUCGAAAUAUGUAGGAAGUUAACUUUUAAAAUUGAGUUAGAUCAACGUUCAUAACAAUAUGUGCACAGUAGAGUAGUCUUGUCAUAUAAAAUGAAGGAGGGUUAGUUAAACAUACUUCGCCGAAAAAAUUAUAGAAGGGGAGUCUCGGAGCAAUAAAGUAAUUUUCGUGCGAUCUAACUAUAAGCUAUGAGUUCGAGCCGUGUGGAAGUAACCAUUAAUGCUUGCAUUAGGUAAGCUAUCUACAACAUAUAAUAUGGUCUUUUCCCGGUUUCUGCGUGAAUACGAGAUGCCUUGUCCACUGGGCUGCCUGUACAUAAAAAAGUAUACUCAGUAUAUAGAUCAAUUUAUUUUUACAUGUACGUUAAAUCUUGAACACCCUUUAUUCAAAUUCUUACCUUCACCACUAUAUGUGUAUAAGCAGUUUUAGUGUAUGCAUAUCUAUCAUCUUACUGGUGAAAUACGAUUAGCUUUUGUAAAGAACUUUAAGGAAUAAAAAUACAUAUUGAACGUAGGCAUGUAUUAUUUUCUUUGUUGUUUAAGCUGCAUCCUUUUCUUUGAUAAGAUUUUGGAUUAAUCAAAGUAUCGAUCGUUUGUCUUCAAAUUUGUCUAAGUGUUGUAGUAACACGAAAUACUACUAUAGUUUAUAAGUUGGUCAAAUUAGCUUAUAAGCAUUUUAUCUAUGCGUUUGGUAAAUAUCAAAAAGGCUUAUAAAUGUAAGUACUUAAUUAUAAGCCAAAGUAAGCCAAAAGUCAUAAGUUUAUCAUCCUAACUUAUGAUUUUACAACUCAAAAACAUUUUUAGUUCGAUCAGGGUUUUAGAUAUUUUAUCCUUAAUAUUUUAUAUAAUUCUCAAAGUAUUUUCCAAAAAAUAUAUCCUCUAACUUCCAUUUCUUUUCAUACCUACCAUUCCUUCUUUUACUUACAAAAAUACUUUAAUAUUUAACUUUUGUAAGAAAAAAAUACGGACAGUUUAGUCAUUUUACGAAAAGAUUAGUUAUUAGUAAUAUUUUUUAUCAAAUAUAUACAUUAAUUGAUUAUAUUAUCGGUUUAGUAAUUUUAUUCAAACGCGUAACUGCUUGUUAUUAAAAUCAAGUUCAAACACUAAAAAGUGCUUAUUAACACUAUUUGCUUAAGAGCUAUUUACAAUCACUUAACUCAAACAUGCCAUUAAUUUUUUCAUGAUAAUCAAAACAAUAGUCAAAUUGCACGAAGCCAAAUCUAAAACCAUUCUAUUCCAAAGUCAAUUUUAUCACACUUGUUGCCAUAAAAUUCUGGAAACCAGAUUUUAUUCUGACUUAAACUAUAGACAACUUUAUAGAAUGUGGAAUAUGCAUUUAAGUUUUAAGAACCCUAUAUAAUUCAUAGACUAGCAUAUGAAAUUUGAACAAAAUUUUAACUUUACUUGCAGUUUCUUUUCCUUCUCUAGGCUGCUAGCCUUAAUUCCACUCUAGACAACAUUAUUUCAAACAAAAACGAAUCCAAAAUUAAGAGUCAUUGAGUUCAGAAAUAUUAUAAUCUUAUUAUAUGUGUAAAGGGCAGCUCAGUGUACAAGUCAUUCCGCGUUCACGGCUUCACGCAAAUGUCCGAGGAAAGGGCACACCCUAAGGGGCGAGAUGUAGACUACCCUAAUGCAAGCAUUAGUGGCUGAUUUUAUGAUUCAAACACGUGACCUAUAGGUUACACAGAGGCAAUUUUUGCUCCAAAGCUCUCCUUCAAUCUUAUUAUAUGUAUACAUUUUAAAUUCUUUCGCAUAUGUAUAUGCCAAAAGCUAUAGAUUCAGUUGAACACACAUAACUUGCCCUAGAUCCGCCUCUGCUUUUCGAUCUAUUAAAUACUAUACUCCAUAGUUUCACCUUGGUAUUUUGUUAAUUAAUCAUGAAAUUUUUGAAUAAAAUAGCCUUUCAUCUUUUCUUGAGCCGAUGGUCUAUUUGAAACAGCCUCUCUACCUUUCCAAGGUAGGAGUUAUAAGGUCUGCGUACACAUUACUUUCUCCGGACCCCACUUAUAAAAUUUUACUGAAUUUGUUGCUUAUUGUAGGGAUUCAAGAAAGUAGCAUCCAAGAGGUGGGAAUUCUCACAUGAGAAGUUCAAGAGAGGAAGUAAGCAUUUACUUGGCAAAAUCACAAGAAAGAAAAGUGACCCUAGUGCUUUUCCUGCAUACUUAAAGCCUUGUGAUCAAAUAUUGGCUGCAAAAGAAGGCAAUAAUAUUAGUCUGCAGCUACUUGUGGAGGAGAAUCACAACUUAAGAAAAGAAAGGUUAGAAUUGGAAAUGCAAAUUGCUCAUUUCAAAACCCUAGAAACAAAGUUGAUGGAAUGUCUUUCUCAGUAUGUGGGAAAUCAACAUAACAAAGUUAGAAGGCUUUUUUAGAUAUAUAGCCAAGUCAUGAACCUAAAGGCUGCCCGGUGCACAAAAUAUUCUGUAUUCACGCAAGGUCCAGGAAUUCGCAUCCCUAGGAUUGUAAUGUAGGUAGCCUACCCUAAUGUAAAUUUAUAUGCACUGACAAUGUAAACAAAUUUUAUAUUAUCAGUGCAAUUUUACUUGCCAUUGCCAUUUCAGUUUACUUGUUUUAUUUUUCAAGUUAAAAAAUUUCAUUUAUUAUGAUUAAUUUUCUUUUAAGUUACCUGAUAGUGAUAAAUUCUUAUAUCUAUAGUAAAAGUUAAGGUUAAAACUCUUAACAAAUAGGAGAGGAAAAGGGAAAAAAUGCUCAAUGACUUCCAAGGGUUUGUGGUAGGAUAUAUAGUAUUUCUUACCAUUUAACCAAAGGUCUCGAGUUCGAGCUCUUUGAAUGAAAGAGGCACUUUCCCCUUUAAUGAACCCUUACGUGACACAAAUUCAGAUUAGUCAAGGCCACAAAACAAAUACCAUGGGUGAAAAUUUUUAAAAAAAAUAGUCCAAGAUUUCAUCCCCUCCAAAGUUCAAAAAAGAAGAAAAUUUAAUAAAGUCAUGCCCGUUCAGAGUGGGCUGAAAUAAAAUUUCUUUUGUUGUUUGGAUCAUUUAAGGUGAUAAAUUCUUGUCAACAUUCUGACUAUAGAAUUUUCAAAUUUUGAACUUAACAUGAUAAAAUUCUUCAUUUGGAAAUUCUGGUGCAUCUUUCAUGAACAGAUUCAAAAUUAAGAGUUUAUUACUUUUCUUGUCGUUUUUAUGUGUAUAUAAUUAUAUAAUUAAUUUUUUGGUCAAGUUGAUAUUUAUUGGUGACUAUAUGGAUCAGUUACCUUUGUUGAACGGUAUACAAUGACAAUUGAUGCUCAUAAGCUGCAUUUAGCCUCUCAAUUUGCAAAGAUUGAGUAUAUGCUUUAAAUAAGCAUAAAGUUGGACUACUACUCCUUGUUUUCCUUACAUUAAUGAUCACAGUUAUUAGAGUACGAUAAAGUUAAAAAAAAAAAAAAGAAGAAGCAAUUUUCUCUUAUUUUUUGAAACGAUAAAUAUUUUGAAGCAACAAUUUUAAUAGACUUGAUAAAUAAAAUAGAAUGGAGGGAUUAAGCUCCAGAAUACCUUAUGCACUCGUUUUAAACUGGAAAUAGGAUAGACGAAUAACAACAACAAUAAUUCUAGUGUAAUUUCUAUAAGUGAGGUUUGGGAGGAUAGUGACUAGUAGUGUAUACGUAGAUUUUACCUCUACCUUUCUGAAAGCAGAUAGGUUGUUUAAUUUUUGAUAGACCCUCGGCUCAAGCUAAGGAAAGAAAACAAAAUCGGCAGGAGUGAAAAGGAAAUACAGUAGCAAAGAAGCAAUAAAAAGGGAAAAAUAGCAACAACAAGAUAAUAAUACAGCAAGAGCAAAAGAAAUAGCGGGUAGUACUAGAAAUCUAAGACAAAGAAAUACCAGCCUAAGUACUACUUCUACUACAUGAACUCUCGACUAUCUUUUAACCUACAACGCUAAUUUUUGACCUCCGUGCUCUUCUGUGCAAGCAUAUGUCACAGUUAGUGGUGACAAAAUGGUUAAAAGAAAAUAACUAACCACACAUAUUAUUCACUAAAAAAUUAGUAGGAUUAUGAACUUUUUAAAAACGGGUCAAAUAUGGAUAAGAACCAUAUUAUCCAUUUAGAAAAUGGAUAACCAAUAGAUAACUAUUGGAUUUAACCUUUACAUUUGUAAAACCUUAAAUUGGGGGUUCCUCAAGUUUGAGAGAUUAGGAAUUCUUCCAAAAGUGAUCAUAUUCAGGAAGCGAUAGAUAAUAUGGUUACCCAUAUUAUUUGUCGGUUAACCCGUUUUUUAUCCGUAUUAAAUAUAAGUCGGAUAAAAUAAUUUGUCCGUUUUUUUAUUAUCCAUUUUUCACUCGUCCCAUACCUUAUCCAACUCGCCUGUUUGUCACCCCUAGUUACAGUUAGUCAAAUGACUUUCUGCUCUUCGAGAAGCAAUUCUUCUUCCAAUGAAAGCACAAAAUAUUUCUAUCUCAAAUGAGGUGUCGACCAGCCAGCUAUCAAUGGGAAGAAAAAGCGAAAAUCCAAAGUGAAUUAAGAAAUCGAUGCGAUAAAAACUAGAAUAGUAUUCUUUAAUUUGGUACCAGAGACGGAUUUAGUGCAAAGGUUUCGAUUAUAUGCGAGCAGUAUAUUUUGCAUAGAUUAUGUAUUUAUACUAAGACGUUCACUAAUUAUAUACUAAUAUUUAGUUUGGAACGCCAUUCAUUGGUCCGAUUAUCAUUAUAUAUAUUCUUUAGUUUGGUAUCAUGGGCGGAUUUAAUGUAAAAGUUACGGUUUUAAGUGAGCCCCAUAACUUUUGCUUAAAUUAUGUAUUUAUACUAAAAAAUUCACUAAUUGUAUAAGAAUAUUUAGUUUGGAACCCGAUUCUUUGAUCCGAUUAUCAUUAUAUAUUAACUUGAGAUCAUGACAGGAACCUAUAAACUUAAAUUGGAUCCGCCUCUCUAUUUGAUACUAUUUAGUGUUAAAUUAAUAAAAUCAACAAUAUUUUGCCUGGUUUAGAAUUUAAUUAGUUCUUCCAAAGUUAAAUUAAAAUCGCCAGUAUAUGCAACAGUUUUUUCUAAAAAUUUAAUACUCACUUCGUUUACUUUUACUUGUCUACUAUACUAAAAUUAUAUUUUUACCUUUAUCUGUUGUCCUUUUAGCAAAUUAAGAUUUUUUUAAAAAACUCUUAUAAUUAAUUAAUCAUUCCCCAUCAUUUUUAAGACCUUUUGAAAUACGACCAUUAUCAUGGGUAGCACACUAUUUUCGCGUUCACAUCAAGAUUUAUUUGGAUUUCCUAUGAUUUGAAAAGAAAAAAAAAAGACCAAAAGAAUUGAUGAAAUGCACAAAAUUUACCGAAAGAUUUAGGUGACAAUUAAUGGUUAAAGUAAUUUUCUACAAAUUAUGGCAAUCACCAGAUAAUAUAGAUCUUGCCCUUUCGACAUUUAUAACAAAAUACGAGGGUAAACAAUAGAACACGAUUUACAAUAUGAUCUCUGAAACCAUUAUUUUUAUAUCCAAAAUCAAUUGUAUUUGCUACUUGGACUUGUCUAAAUUAAGUAUUUUUCGCGCGGAAUAUAAAUAUAUACCCUUUUUGUUGGGAAUCAUAUUCUUUUUAAACUAUCCCAAAAAGAAUCAGAUUUCUAGAGUCGAAAAUAAUUUAACUUAAUUUUUCAUUUUAUUCUUUAAGAACCAUUUUUGUAGUCGUACAAAUAUUUGGCAGUAUGUUAAAUUACAAUUUUAACAUGACUAAAAUUAAACCACACGUUUUAAUUUUUUCUUCAUAAAUAGUCAAAUUAUACUACAUAAAUUGAAAGGAAGAGACAUACAAUAACAACAACAACAACAACAACAACAACAAUAAAUCCAGUGAAUUUUCACAUGGGGAGAGUGAAAGAGCCUGUUUCCGAAAGACCAUCGGCUAAAAAAAAGAUAAAAAGAAGUAAUGACAAUAAGUAUUAACAACAACCAAAUAAAAAGAUGACUGAAUCCAAGGUAGCAAUUAAAUAACGGUAAUAGCAAUAUAAGAAUAAAGGGACAAUAAACCAACACUAAUGUUAUCAAACUAAGGAAGACAAAGGGGAAAGAAAAAGAGAUGCAACUAAUAAAAACAAAAAAAAAUCCAAUAAAUUUCAAAAUUUGAAUUCAUAAUUUCAAAAGUAAGACGAAUUCUUGCUAAAAAUCUUUAAACUCAAUUUCAUCAAAUUUAAAUCUUAGAUCCACCUCUGUUUUGUUUUGCCUCGAGACCUAAUCAUAACCUGGCAUAUUUCUUGAGAUUCACAGCAGCAUCUUUGACAUUUUCUGGUACAGCCAUGUCAGCCUUGACAGUAACCCUAGAUGAUGAAAUCAAAACUCUAUCUCCCAAUUUUGAAGAAUUAUCACUUUUCCAUAAUUUCACUUCCCAAACAUGAAUAGAUUUUCCAAUAUUAAGAGGUGUAGCUUCAGCAUAAACAAUUUCACCAAGAUGAGCACUCUUGAGAUGGUGAAUACUUAAGUGAACUCCAGCCACUCUUCGAAAUCCGGACGCCACGUGGGCGCCCAUGCUCGCCAGAGCUUCAGCAAUUAAUGCUGAAACUCCGCCGUGCAACACCUUGAAUGGGUUGCAGCAUUUUUCGGUCACCGAAAAAUAUCCUGUGAUUUUUUGAGGGGAGAUUUUUGAGAUCUUAAAGCCAAUUUCAUGAAGUGGAGCAUCUAAAAUCUCAUUCUUUGAUGAUUCCAUUUUUUUCUCCUUACCUUUGAUUUUCUCUUGAGUUCUUGAUUUAUGAAUUUAUGUAUUUAUUAGUUUGGAGUUUUUCUACCUUUGUAGAAAAGGAUAAAAUAUCUGAUUCUACCAAUAAAGAUGUAUGAUGAUGCAAUUUUGUUUGGCUUGGUGGUUGGUCACUUUUUAGGUGAUGUAUUUAAAGAGUCUAAAAAUGGAAUAGCAUUAACUUAUAAAAUCAGUGCAAUAAAAGCAAUUAUAUCAUGUCAUUUAUUUCUUUUACUAAGUUGUCAAUUCAUAUUUAAUAAUCUCAAGAUUCAGAUUAUAUGAAAUUUGCUUAAACUUUUAAAAUGUACUCCCUCCAUUCACUUUUACUUGACAGGUAUACUAAAAAUAUAUUUAUUCAUUUUUACUUGUCACUUUACACAUAUCAAGAGAAGAUAAUUUUUUUCCAUGUUAUACCCACAGUAUUUAUUACUCAUUUCAAAUCAUUUUCUCAAAUUCAAUAAAAUAUGCAUCAAUUAAUAUGGGUAUCAUGGUAUAUUAUGCACUUCAUUAAUUAUUUCUUAAGGAGUGUAAAAAGUCAAAAUGUGUCAAGUAAAAGUGAACAAAGGGAGUAUCUUUUUAUCAUCUUAAUAUCAGGAAAAUUGUGAUUUUAUAGUAUUUUUCGUAUAAUUUUUGUAAAUUCAAAUUUUAGUAUUACUAAAUUAUUUUUACCUGUUGUAAUAAGUAACCAAUUAUAUUUUCAAGAUUACAAUUCUCAUAUUUCAAGAAGGCUUACUUGUAGAUAUUCUUUGGGUGAUCGGAUAAUAAAAAUUGUUUACAGACAAUGUAUACAACUUAAACUCAAAAAGUAUAAUAGAGCACCUGUUGAUGAAUUCCUCUAAUUAAUCUAAUCAUGAGAAGCCAUGCUUACAACAACAACAACAACAACAACAACGACUCAGUAUAAUCCCACAGGUGGGGUCUGGGGAGGGUAAUAUGUAUGCAGACCUNNNNNNNNNNNNNNNNNNNNNNNNNNNNNNNNNNNNNNNNNNNNNNNNNNNNNNNNNNNNNNNNNNNNNNNNNNNNNNNNNNNNNNNNNNNNNNNNNNNNNNNNNNNNNNNNNNNNNNNNNNNNNNNNNNNNNNNNNNNNNNNNNNNNNNNNNNNNNNNNNNNNNNNNNNNNNNNNNNNNNNNNNNNNNNNNNNNNNNNNNNNNNNNNNNNNNNNNNNNNNNNNNNNNNNNNNNNNNNNNNNNNNNNNNNNNNNNNNNNNNNNNNNNNNNNNNNNNNNNNNNNNNNNNNNNNNNNNNNNNNNNNNNNNNNNNNNNNNNNNNNNNNNNNNNNNNNNNNNNNNNNNNNNNNNNNNNNNNNNNNNNNNNNNNNNAGAAUACGAAAUAUACAAUAGAUGACCAUGCUUGUUUCGGAUAAUUCCUCUAAUUAAUUCUUACACUAUAAAACAUUUAAUGAAUUCCUAGGAGACUGUUGAAUUAAAAAUGUGACCCUGAAAGCAGUUUCUCUCUUAAUAUGCUUUAACACAUUACAAAUUUAAUUAUUGCUCUUUUAAUAAGCUUUACACGGUACAAAUCUAAUUUGUCGAUCAAUAGGAAAAGAAAAAUUGAGCCACUUAAUCUAACGAAAGAACAAACAUGUUUUUGUAUUUUGAGAUUUCCUUUCAUUUCGGUGAAAAGUACGGGCUAGCUUUUCGGACCGGUAAUUAAAAAAUAGUGGCAUAUGUAAAGUCAUCGAAAAAUAAUCACUAUUUUAUACUGAAAUAAAAUCUGGACAAAAAUACCCUAGCUGAGACUUCCAUAUGGAGUUCUGCGUAUAAACUUCCAGCAUAUUAUAUUGGAACUCUAGUACAUUAUAAAAUUCCAGCAUAUUAUGCUGAAAUCUCAUAUGUAAAAUUCGAACUCAAGCAUAUUAUGCUGGAACUUUUCCUGAUUUUAAGGGCGUUUUUGUUCAUGUUUUAUGUUUACAUAAAAAAAUUGCUAAAUUUCGAUUACUUUUGAAAGUGUGGCUAAUUUUGAAUUAAUAGUUGUAAAUCAGGCUAUUUCUUAAUUUUUCCCCCUUCAUUUUGUUCCUUUGAUAUCUUUAAAAUUUGCACCUGCGUUGUCACUCAAUAACUUUUAUUUAUUUUCCAUCCGAUGUGGAUACUCGCUUUGUAUAAAGUCCAUUAAUGGAAAUACUUUCCGCCCGAAUAAAUUCGAAACCUUUAAUUAAAGGGGAACGGAUCAUACCCAUCCCGCCACAACCAUAUACGGUGUUGACACAACAGAAAAAACUAUCAGCCAUAUUUGCUUACUUAUUAAGACACCCUAAGUCAAGCUUAUACCAUAAAUCAUGCAUUUUUUCAGCAUGUAACUGACUUGAAACUUAUAAACAAAUUUAAAAAAUUAAAAAUAUUUUAUUGCUAAGAUGUAGGUUCUCUAUUUCUCAUUGAAGUAGCAGAAUGGCCAAUUGAAGCUGUAAAUUUUUAUUUUUUCAAAUAUUUUGAAAUAAAUGGAAAAUAUUUCCUCUAACCUUUUUUUUAGCUCCAAAUGUCUCAGUUUAAUUUUUUCUUUAUUUCACUUGAAGAACUUCAUAUCCCAAAAUAGGAAAAGAAAUACCAAAAUCCAAACAUUCUAAAGCAAACUAAUGCUCCAAAAAUUUAUGUUUCACAAUUGAAACUUUUUGUUUAAUCGAUGCAACAACAACAACAACAACAAAAGAAAAAAUAUUGAAAUUUCACAAGUGGGGUCUAGGGAGGGUAAUUAUGAAAUAGAGAAAUCGCUGCAUAGACACGAUACAAUAUCUCACUUUCACAUUCAUGACAAGAUUAACUUGAUUUUUUUAGGUAAAAUAAUAUCUUAAGAUAAAUCUGCUUCUUAAGAAGGAGGUAAUCUGGCAAUAGGCAACCCACCAUUUUGUAACAACAACGCCUCAGUCCCAAACAAGUUGAGGUCGGCUAUAUGAGUCCGUACUCAUUUUUUUAAGCUCAACACAUAUCAUCAAAAGAAAAAUAAGUGUUAGUGUCACAAAAAUUCUGUAAAAAUGAAUAUGUAGUACUAGUACAUAGACUACAUCUACUGUGCAUAUGAUGCAGGAUUGCUAUAAUAAUGUUACAAACAAAAUAAUUAAGAAUCAAAGAAUGGAUAGGAAAUAUCCAUACUAAGAAAGCAAGGAAGUGGAAAAAGAAACAGCACACUAGCAGAGUACCUAUCCAGAUUUCUUGUCCGUCUUUGUCGACAACUUCCUCUUCAUUCUGCUAAAAGGGCCAACCGUCCGGUCCAUUAUAUACAUGUAGAUAACCUGGCUCCAAGAUUUGUAAGAUUCUAAGUUUUCGUAGUAUUCUGGUGCAAUCUCCUUCACCUUGUAGAGCUUGCUUCCAGGAAUCCGAGGGAAAUCAUGGUGCUCGUUGUGGUAACCUACGCUCCACGUCAUAAGAUUAAGUGGACCGUAGUAGGAGUAUGUCUCUUGCUCGGGCUUGAAAACAUAAUGCUCGGAGAUGAAAUGACCGGCCAUUGGGUGCAUUCCGCCUCCAACAAAGGUCGACAGGAUCAAAUAAGCGAAAGAUUUCCAACCCCAGAAGUAUACCAUAACUCCAUCGAGGGAGAGUUGGAUAAUCAAAUUGGCGAACUCCCACAUGCCGGGCGGUUUAGGUUUGAGAAAAAGUGGUCUUAGAGCAUAAAAGAAGAGUUGGAGAAUAACCCAUAUUGAUUUCGCUAUGGCGUUUUUGACAACAUGGGCUUCAGCAAGACUCGGGAUAUCCAUAUCGAUUCCAUCGACUCCUUGGAAGCGGUGGUGCUCGAGGUGAUACUUUUGGAAGGUAACGGACAUGGGAACGCCAAUGGGAAGGUUGGCGAAAAUCCCAAGCCAACGGUUGUAAACUGGAGUAGAGAAAGCGAGGUUGUGACUAAGCUCAUGAAUGGCAAGGAAGAGAUUGUGGUUAAGGAAAGAGCCGAAAAAGUAGGCAACUAUCAAUAUCUUCAGCCAACUUGCAUCACGGAGGAAGAUAGCUGUCCAAAGCUGAAGCAAAACAACCAUCGAUAUCUGCAAUGCAAAUUUGGAGAUCAAUACACAAAAAAGAAAAUUUUGGUGGAUGAUAAAAUCUAAUUACUCAUGAAAAAUCAUAUGCCUCAAAGCUUGCUAAAUUGUAGGGAAAGAUCAACAAGACAAUACCAAAGGAUUCAAUGCAUUUGGCACGGGAGGUUCUGUUGUCAACAUAAGUUAAGAAGUUCAUGAAAGACAUCAGCAAUAAAUCAUAGCAUUGCAACAGAAAAUUGGUAAGAGAAGAUGUUUCUAUCCUAUCUGAAUGCCGUGAAGUGGCACAAAAUUCGUUAGAAAGUUAUGAGAUCUCUUUGUACAUUUUUUAAGGCUGAAUUCCAGAAAACCAAGUCAAGAAAAUCCUGAUUAGGCUUUCUCAACCUUUAAAAUCUUGGAAUCAGUUUGACAUGAGAGUAGGAAAAGUCUGAUGUGUUCUCUCGCAGUUAUUCUUUGUUUUUUUCAUAAUAACAAUGGUGUGCGGGCAAAAUUGCACGCACCUCGACAAUUCCACUGAAUACUUUUUACUUCCGACCAACACAAGUAUCGGGUAACUCUGCACACUGAAGCUAAAUUGCACAGACAUCAAUUAUUUCACCGAAUACCUGUUAACUCCGACCAACAGAGAUAUCGGGUGACUCUGCAGACCAAAGCUUAGGAAGAUGGGAACAAAUCAGCUAGCGACUUUAUCUCUACUGGAGUUCGAAUUCUGGUCCCCAUGGUUGUCACCCACCUUCGGGGUGAUGAGGUGGACAAUUCCUUACUCCACAUCUUUGCAUGAAUCAAUACUAACUCUUCAAUCAGCUCCUUAUCCAACAGAGCACGGUGGUCAUUUUUUUGCCUAAAAGAUGCCGGUUCAGCCAUCCACACCGAGCCGGCGCUCCAAUCUUGCUCUGUCGGAUAAGGGGUUGAAUAAGAAUGAAACAAAACUAAAGGAAGCAAGACUCUUCUCCUUUGUAUCCUUUGAAAGCAGUCCAAAAAAGAACUGAACUCAUUUAUAUAAAGGGGAAGAGAACUCCUCUCCUACAAGAAAGUUCACUAGACCACUCCCUUGGUGCAUCCUUUCACUGUUUAACUUCAUUGUUUUCAUUAUCAAAUUGCAUCUACAUUGUAAAUAAAUACAUGAAUAACCUAACAACUAACUUGUUGAGAACAAAAUGACACCACAAAUUGGAACAUGACAUUAUGCAAGUGCCAAACCACCUUAAUCUAAAUGCAAGCUUUUCCCUACCAUCUAAAAUGUCUGAAAAAGGCAAUAUUACUAUCUUUUCCAAGAAAGUGAAAAAAAAAAAAGGAUUGUCAAUUACUUUUACAGCAAAGUUAAAAGAUUGAAAUCCUAGCCUAUUUCACAGUUAAAUUAUCAGGUUCAAGAUGCAUAUUUAAUCAAUAAAAUUCUGAAAGGAUUCCAAUAGAUAGAAACAUUCUACAAUGCCAAUUUUUUUUAAUAACUGUGGUGUGCGGGCCAGCUUGCGCGCGGCUUGUCUAACUACAAUGCCAAAUCUUAUCCACAACAGAUUCUUGAAAAGAGCAAACCAAUAUAAUAAAACCAAAUAUGAUUAAAAAGAUUCAAACUUUUGGAACCCAUGUUUAUAACCCAGAUCUAAAAUGACCAAUUAAGCAAAAACCAUUAAUAUAAAAAAUUCAUAUCAGCAUUUUUUUGAAAAAAUACAUAAGAAGGGAAUAAAAGUUUGUAUAUUUAUGAAGAAGGGAAUACAUCUUAUGGAAAGCAAAACCAUUAAUACAGCAAUACCAUAUCAGCAUUUUUUGGAAAAAAUACACAAUAAGGGAACAAAAGUUUGUAUAUUUAUGAAAGAGGGAAUAUACCUUGAGAAAAGCAAAAGGGUCAGGGCCAAAAAGCUGUUUGAUUUGAGGGUAGUGAGAGAGGAUUUGUCUUCUACGAGAAGCAUGAGGUUCAUCUGUGUAUGACCAAAAGAAAUCAUUAGCCAUUACUACACCUUCUUCUUCUUCUCUCUUUUCCCCCUCAAAUCCCAUUUUUUUCUUCUCUCUGUUUCUGUUUCUCUGCUUUGGACCUCUCUUUCCUUCCCUUGUAUGGCUGUUUAGAUUUUCUUGAUUCUGUUCUAGUAUAGUUUAAUAGCUAAAUUUGCGGUUUGUUUUAGAUUUUUUAAAAAUAAUAAAACAAGAUUUAGUUUAAAUAAAAUAUUGAUAUUUUAUAUUAAAUAAUCAUUAUUAUACCUUUGGAAAAUAUAAUAAUGUUUUUUCUCUCUAAUAUUUGGCACCUUGCAUGUUGAGAUUCAAAUUAAGUAAAAAAAAGAGCAUGUGUACAAAGAAUUUUGUAUUCAUACGGUUUCAGAGAAGGGCCGUAUUCCAAGGGUGUGAAUAGAGAGUCCACCAUAAUGCAAUCAUUAGUGGCUGCUUCCUGGCUCAAACCUGUGACUUGUACGUUAUGUAAAAACAACUUUAUCAUUGUUCCAAGACUCUCUUCCAUUCAAAUUAAGUAAACUUUCACUAAUAUUUUAUAUUUUAUUUUUCUUCUGCGUGUUUGAUAGAGGAAAUUGUAACUUAUAGUAUUGUUCAUAUAGUUUAUGAAUAUUUAAAUUUAUUUUUAAAAAAUAGAACCACUAAUCCAAUUUUAGCUCUUAAAAUUGGUCAAAUGGAUUAAUUAUAAGUGAAAAGCGCCAGACAAAUUGAUACGAAGAGUGUAUUAUAUAAAGUAUAUUAGAACGAACACAGUAUUUUGACUGUUAGAAAUCUUAAUUGUUAUACAUUAGUGGAAAAUAAAAUUAUCAAUAUGUAUUGAAAUGUCAAAUUUUCAAUAUAAGAUGACUUUCUUGUAAUUCAAUAUAAUAUUCUUGACUUCCUUCAAAAUCACCUUAUUCGACAAAUGAAAUUUCUUACACAUUCCACUUCCAACCGGGAGGUUGUGAGUUCGAGACUCCCGAAAAGCAAGGUGUGAAGUUCUUGGAGGGAAGGAUGCCGGAGAUCUAUUUGGAAACAGCCUCUCUACUCAAGGUAGGGGUAAGGUCUGCGUACACACUACCCUCCCCAGACCCUACUAAGUGGGAUUAUGCUGGGUUGUUGUUGUUGUUGUUGUUGUUGUUACACAUUACCAACAAGGGUUGUGGUGGAGUGGUAAGUACUCCUUUGUCCUUAACCAGAGGUCUCGAGUUCGAAUCCCAAUGUGGGUACCAGAUAUCGGGUGAGAAAUAAAAAAAAUAAAAUAAAAAAUAUAAAAAAAAGAAGAAAUUUCUUGCACAUUUUUCUCAGCUUUGGCCACUUAUCAUUCUUUCUGCUUAUCAGGGGCAUUUUAACUUGCAUUUUGCUGCACUUUGUUGUUAAUUAAAAUUGUAGCCAGAUUAUCCACUUAGUAGAACCCUUUUCUGCCUAAAAGUCCAAAAUUUCAUCCUACAGAAACACAAAUAGAUAACUUUUUUUUUUUGCACUGUUGAUUGCCUGCAUCAGUUCAAUCAAACUUGUGCAGUGUCAAUUUUUCUAAUACCAGGAGCCAACGGCACAGCCAGGAUUCAACUUUAUGGGUUCUGAAUUUUAAAAUGACGACUUUAAGUGCUAUUAACAGGGUUCUAAACUGAAAUCCAAGUCAAACCAUAGAACUAAAAAUUAGUCAUAAGCAAAACAAACAAGCAAAGAAUAAGUAUCAGAAAAUCCAAAGAUAAGGUUUAUCAUAUUACCAUCAAAAAGGUCUUGUUUCAGGCAUGUAAAAUUCGUAACAUAGUCUGCAAUAUAAUCUGCUUAUAUGACAGAUACAAGCUGAGCUUAUCAGUGAGUUGAUAAAUUCUCCCUUUCAGGUUUUCACCUUGUAUUCGCAAAACCCCUAAAAACUUUGAAAAUUCCUUUAAAAGUUACAACUCCAACCAAAUUUUGAUCCUCAUCAAUGACCCAAAUGGAACUCGCACGAUGUGCAAGCGCUUGAAUUAACACAGCCACCAAUGAACUCCCCGGAUAACAGGUGAUCGCCUCUGACCUUCUUGCUGAAGAAUAUCGUCCUGAACCAUUUCUACUCGACCCUGGCUCAUCAUCAGAAGAACAACUAGAAGCUGAAGACGAUGUAGACGACACNNNNNNNNNNNNNNNNNNNNNNNNNNNNNNNNNNNNNNNNNNNNNNNNNNNNNNNNNNNNNNNNNNNNNNNNNNNNNNNNNNNNNNNNNNNNNNNNNNN